UACGGAGGGUGCAAGCGUUAUCCGGAUUUAUUGGGUUUAAAGGGUCCGUAGGCGGACUCGUAAGUCAGUGGUGAAAUCUCAUAGCUCAACUAUGAAACUGCCAUUGAUACUGCGGGUCUUGAGUAAGGUAGAGGUAGCUGGAAUAAGUAGUGUAGCGGUGAAAUGCAUAGAUAUUACUUAGAACACCAAUUGCGAAGGCAGGUUACCAUGUCUUAACUGACGCUGAUGGACGAAAGCGUGGGGAGCGAACAGG
rnacentral:rRNA from 1 species